GAUGAACGCCGGCGGCGUGCCUAAUACAUGCAAGUCGAGCGAACAGACGAGGAGCUUGCUCCUCUGACGUUAGCGGCGGACGGGUGAGUAACACGUGGAUAACCUACCUAUAAGACUGGGAUAACUUCGGGAAACCGGAGCUAAUACCGGAUAACAUGUUGAACCGCAUGGUUCAACAGCGAAAGACGGUCUUGCUGUCACUUAUAGAUGGAUCCGCGCCGCAUUAGCUAGUUGGUAAGGUAACGGCUUACCAAGGCAACGAUGCGUAGCCGACCUGAGAGGGUGAUCGGCCACACUGGAACUGAGACACGGUCCAGACUCCUACGGGAGGCAGCAGUAGGGAAUCUUCCGCAAUGGGCGAAAGCCUGACGGAGCAACGCCGCGUGAGUGAAGAAGGUCUUCGGAUCGUAAAACUCUGUUAUUAGGGAAGAACAAAUGUGUAAGUAACUAUGCACGUCUUGACGGUACCUAAUCAGAAAGCCACGGCUAACUACGUG
rnacentral:rRNA from 1 species